rnacentral:tRNA from 1 species
GCGGAUGUAGCUCAGUUGGUUAGAGCGCCAGUUUGUGGCACUGGAGGUCGUGGGUUCGAUUCCCGUCAUUCGCCCCA